GGAAGGAUCAUUAACAAAUUUACCCUAUGGUUAAAUCAUUGUGCACAGUGUGUGUGGUAGUGUGAAAGCGCUCUGCACACAAGUAACGAGAAUGUAGUGGGCGUUAUACGUAAAAUGUGAUAAAACUUUUAACAAUGGAUCUCUUGGCUCUCGCAACGAUGAAGAACGCAGUGAAUUGCGAUAACUAGUGUGAAUUGCAUUACCUUGUGAAUCAUCGAGUCUUUGAACGCACCUUGCACUGACUGGCCCUCCAGUCAGUAUACCUGUUUGAGUAUCAUGUUAUCCCUAUUAACCGAUGAGGUUAAUGAUGUGAGCCGCUUAUAGCGUAGUGCUGUGUGUGUAUACGCAAGUGUACGCUUACUUCACUGUGUUGUAAUGGCUUUAAAUGAAUGACUUUGAGGUAGGCACUAACAGCGCAUUCUACACCUACGAGCAAGAGCAUUAUGCCAGGCUUUGAUGUAGACUGUGAUACCAAUGCUUAACCAUUAAACCAUCGUCACAUGAUGAACCGUACGGUCCAUCAACAUAUAUCCAGGAUCUCAAAUCAGGCAAGAUUACCCGCUGAACUUAAGCAUAUCAGUAAGCGGAGGAAAAGAAACUAACUAGGAUUCCCUCAGUAACGGCGAGUGAAGCGGGAACAGCUCAAAUUUGGAAUCGAGGCGGCUUCCGCUUCGAAUUGUAAGUAAUAGGGCCGUAGUCGGUAGGCGUCGUCUUGACACAAGUCUGCUGGAACGCAGCAUCACAGAGGGUGACAAUCCCGUCGGUAGUCUUGACUGGCGCUUGCCAAUGAUGCGGCUUCAACGAGUCGGGUUGUUUGGGAAUGCAGCCCAAAAUGGGUGGUAUACUCCAUCUAAAGCUAAAUACAGGCGAGAGACCGAUAGCGAACAAGUACCGUGAGGGAAAGAUGAAAAGAACUUUGGAAAGAGAGUUAAAAGUGCGUGAAAUUGUUAAAAGGGAAGCGAUUGACGACAGUAAUGGGUUGUGGGUGAUGGUGUGGACUAAGUGUUGUGAGCGAGUGCAGCAAUGUGCCGAAUACAGCGCUUAAUGUACAUCCGCUCACCACAAGCCAUGUCAGCAUCAGUUGGGCGAGGCUGGACAGUGCGCAGGCAAGGUAGUGCCAUUCUCGGAUGGCAAACUUAUAGGCCGGCAGCACAGCAGCCUCCUCGACUGAGGCCAGCAGCACUAUACAGGCAGGCAGACGGAAUGACGAGUGGGGAUGCCGACUACACAUUACUAUGAGUACCGGUCCCCAUUUGCCAUUACCAUUUACCCUACACUGCAGUGCUUAGGAUGCUGACGAAAUGGCGUUAACCGACCCGUCUUGAAACACGGACCAAGGAGUCUAACAUGAGUGCGAGUAAAUGAGUGGCAAACUCACUUGCGCAAUAAACGUGAACAGGAGGGACUGCGCGCAAGCGGCAGGCACCUUCGACCGAUCAGGAUACACUGUUGAAAGAUUUGAGUAAGAGCAUUCAUGUUGGGACCCGAAAGAUGGUGAACUAUGCCUGAGUAGGAUGAAGCCAGAGGAAACUCUGGUGGAGGUCCGUAGCGGUUCUGACGUGCAAAUCGAUCGUCAAACUUGGGUAUAGGGGCGAAAGACUAAUCGAACCAUCUAGUAGCUGGUUCCCUC
rnacentral:misc_RNA from 1 species